AUGCCCGUACUGACGCAUUUCGUCCGGGCGCCGCGAUCGCCUCUCGGCCCUAGGCGGCGCUUGCUUGGCUCCUUCUUCCCCAACGCCGGUGGUUUAUUAAAGGACGCGGUUCCACUGGCCUCGCGCUCGGGCCUCCUUCUCGUGCGCCUCCGCUCAAGCCUGUACUGGGAUGAUGAUGAACGGGAACUCGUCCGCCUGGCCGUGUGCAACCCACUCGCCGGCACAUGGGACGAACUACCACCGCUGCACCGUGGAUCAUCCAUCAUGAGCGAAGAGGCCCAAUGCGCCAUUCUAACAGACACAGACCACGGUCCGAAGGGACGGCCACGAAAACCAUUGCCAGGCUACACAACAUUCUUCAAAGUGACGGUCAUCAUGUUGGGAUAUCAUAGGGGGCCUUACAGCAUGUACACUUUCUCUUCCGCUGAGUCAAGUUGGAGCGCACCUAGAAGGUGCUUUGCGCCUCUGGAGUAUACCUUCGUCCAUGGCAACCCUGUCGUGUCUCGGGGCAAGGUGCACUGGCUCAUCAAGGGCUUGGGCAACGUUUGGACCCUUGGAUUCUGCAUUGAGACCGAGCACAUAUCCAUAACAGAGCUUCCGAUUCCACAGGACUUCUGCGAAUACAGCAGCUUCAACCAUGCACUUGUGCUUAGCGUGGCAGCUAAUGGCAAAUUAUCACUGAUUUGCCUACAUAAAAAUUUCCUCCAGGUACAGAUAUUUACAUGUAAAGGUAACGAAGGGGAUGGCAAUGGCGUUGCCGAUGCACUACAUACUGAGGUCAUCAAGCUCAAACGCAAACCAAGGCAAACCACCAAAGCACUCUACAUGUAUGUGGGCGAGAAGAGCACGACACUGCUUGUCAUUGACCAACGCAAGUUCAUGUGCAUUGUCAAUCUCGAAACAGGGACAAUUGAUGAGGUCACGGGCAUGUCUGGCUACUUUAAAGGACAUACCGUCGUGCCAUUCGAGAUUGAUUGGUCGUCCUUCUUCAUGUCCAGCUUGGAGGCCCAUUGA
rnacentral:rRNA from 1 species